UCGAAAUGACGAUAAAAUUCAUUGUUCAAUCCACUGAAUUCUGUGAUUUUACUCUUGAUUCUCGAUAAGUUUUGAUCAC